AACAUGUUCACUAGAUGGGUCAUUCCUAAUCGUGAUUUGUUCAGGACUGAGACCUCGUCCAAUUCAGGCCUAAGCACAGGUGCUUUGUUUGGUAUGAUCUUAAUCCAACUGUCAGCAAGCAUCCGCUGUUGUCAUUCUCUCCCCGAAGUUGCCGCUUCCAUCACUUGAAUCUCCGACGAUAUUGUUAUUAUUUGUGUGGCCUUCAUGCUGUGUAGUUGUGCUGCUGGAAGAGAAUCCACAAACAGUCCUACUCAGUCACAUACAUUGCAAUAUGAAUUAGGGACAUCAAAGAGCUUCCUCCACACCGACUGGCUGAAAUAAGAAGAUUAUAUGAAGACUACAAAAAGAAAGAGAACAACAACAAAAUACAGCAUCGCUUCAAUUUCAUAGUUUCAUAGCAAUUCUCGCCAAAAAAACCAAACUUUCACCUCAAAACUUCUGUAUACUCUUCUCAAUUUCACACUUCCAGGUGAGCAAGAUAAACGGUGUUCUUAUCCAUGUUGCAAGUGUAUCUG
rnacentral:lncRNA from 1 species